rnacentral:rRNA from 1 species
UACGGAGGGGGCUAGCGUUGUUCGGAAUUACUGGGCGUAAAGCGCACGUAGGCGGCUUGUUAAGUCGGAUGUGAAAGCCCCGGGCUCAACCCGGGAAGUGCAUACGAAACUGGCGAGCUUGAGUAUGGAAGAGGGUCGCGGAAUUCCCGGUGUAGAGGUGAAAUUCGUAGAUAUCGGGAGGAACACCAGUGGCGAAGGCGGCGACCUGGGCCAAUACUGACGCUGAGGUGCGAAAGCGGUGGGGAGCAAACAGG